rnacentral:rRNA from 1 species
GACGAACGCUGGCGGCGUGCCUAAUGCAUGCAAGUCGCACGCGGCACCUUCGGGUGCUGAGUGGCGAACGGCUGAGGAACACGUUGGGACCUGUCCGGGAGUGGGGGACAACACCGCGAAAGCGGUGCUAAUCCCGCAUACGCUCUGAGGAGGAAAGCCGAAAGGCGCUCCUGGGUGGCCCUGCGGCCCAUCAGGUUGUUGGUGGGGUAACGGCCUACCAAGCCAAUGACGGGUCGCUGGUCUGUGAGGACGACCAGCCAGACUGGGACUGGGACACGGCCCAGACUCCUACGGGAGGCAGCAGCAAGGAAUUUUCGGCAAUGGGCGCAAGCCUGACCGAGCAACGCCGCGUGCAGGAUGACGGCCUUCGGGUUGUAAACUGCUUUUGCUAGGAUGACACGGACCGUACCUGGCGAAUAAGCCCCGGCUAACUCUGUGCCAGCAGCCGCCGUAAGAC